AUCGCGUCAUUUUCGGAGUUAUUUGUUGUCCUUCGUCUAUUUAACAAAAAGACGAAACAAAUUAUAUUUUAUUAUAAAAUUAAUAUGGAAAUUAGUGUAGAUACGUUUGAUAGAAUAUGCCGUGUCUGUUUAGUGCAAUGUGCCGACAUGAAAUCCCUGUUUACAAAAAUAGACGGAGAAAAACGGAACUUGUUCGAAAUUUUAGUAUUUACUGCAAAUAUUAAUGUGAAAUACGAGGAUCCUCUGCCGAAACUGGUUUGUAGUGAAUGUGAGACGGUCAUGUGCAAGGCGGAUGCGUUUAAACGUCGUUGCCUUAACUCUGACACAAUUUUAAAUGAAAUUUAUCAAAAUUCUUUGAUCGCCGACGAAACUUCUAUAAACGACAAGAAAUACUCAAUUAAAGAUGAAAAUGGGGAUUUAGCUGAGAAAUUAGGUUCGUACGUUCCCUUUGAAGUUCCAAACACUGCUAAUUAUGAUACAGAAGAUCAUUUUGAUAAGAAAAAUGUUGUUGUACGUGAUACUUCGAUUUUCGCUGCUACUGAUGGUAGCUUCUGUGAACAAACUGACACUCGAGUCUCAGUAAACUCUGAGCAAUUGGUUAAAGAAGAGAUGAACCUGAAUUUUGAUGAAGAUAUAGGAUUUGCAGACCACUACGAUGAUGAAAUGCCCUGUACCACAUCACCAAAUGAGUUCAAAGAUAAAGCACCAGAGUAUUCAAUGUACAAAUGCCAUUGCGGCACAACAUUUCACGAAAAAAACAAAUGCGAGGGCCAUAUAAAGCAGAAAUGUAAAAAUAAGAAAGUUAUAGUUAAGAAAAGUAAAGUAAUAAGGAAAAAUACUGAAAUCAAUUGCGGAGUUUGUAAUUCUACGUUCAACAGUUUGAGCGCUUUAAAACAACAUCAGCAAGUACAUAGUAACGAAACGGACACUAAGCCGCAAGAUUACAUUUGUAAAUUAUGCUUAGUCCAAUUCAAAACGAAGUCCGCAUUAGUUAGCCAUAUAAAAAAGCAUGAAAAAACCGUAAACACCAAGUCUGAAACGUACCAAUGCUCGUUUUGUUUACGCAAGUUUAAAAAUAAGUCUUCGUUGUCAGCUCAUAUGCAACGUCAUGAACAAACGGACAGUAUUAAACAUAUAUGUAAAGUGUGUAAAAGAGAAUUUAAGUACAAAGCUUAUUUAGAGAAUCAUAUUUCGACGAUGCAUUCGAGAAAGAUUGGUAUAAGUUGUGAAGUGUGUGCCCAGACUUUUCCGAACGAAGAGAGCUUGGAGUUGCAUAAAGAUAGUCAUAAAAAUGAGAAGAAACAUCGCUGUACAGUUUGUAAUAAAGGGUUCUUGAUGUUGUGUACUCUAAAAGAACAUAUGAGGACACAUACUGGUGAGAAACCGUUCUUGUGUUCGCAAUGCGGUCGAGGGUUUAGUCAGAAGACUAAUUUAGCGCAGCACAUGAGGAGACAUCAGGGUUUAAAGCCGUUUAAAUGUGAAAAUUGUGAGAAAAGAUUCGUAUCCAAAGGAGAAUUGGACGCCCACAACAGGAAGCAUAGCGGUGCACACCCCUUUGUCUGUGAUGACUGUGGCAACGGUUUCACCACAUCAAGCGCUUUAGUCAAACAUAGACGCAUACACACUGGAGAGAAACCGUACCAGUGUGACCUCUGUCCCAUGAGAUUUGCGGCAUCAGGUACCCUUAAGAACCACAGGCGAACUCAUACAGGAGAAAGGCCCUUUCAAUGCUCUUACUGUGAAAAAGCAUUUGUGCAACGUAACGAUUUGAUAUCUCAUAUCCGUUGUCAUACGGGGGAGAAGCCCUAUGUUUGUACGCAAUGUGGACAGUCGUUUAGAAAGGCUUCAGGCUUGAAGAGCCAUGUUAAGAUGCAUGUGAAAGAGCCUGUGUUGAUGCCCGGUGUUAAUGUUAUGUUGAAUGGUAUGCAUUGUGCUGAGCAAUAAGUGGCGGUGUAAUAACUUUUCACGAAUCGGCCGGCUCGACCGGAGUGAUACCACGGCUUCACAGAAAACCGACGUGAAACAACGCUUGCGUUGUGUGAGUGAGGUUACCGGAGGCCCAAUUACCCCUCUUCCGAAUCUUCCCAAUUCCUAACCCCCAAAAGGCGGGUAAAGCACUUGUAACGCUUCUGGUAUUUCGGGUAACCACAGACAGCGCCGAUUGCUUACCAUCAGGUGAUCCGUCGGCUCGUUUACCGGCUUAUACCAUAAAAAAAUAUAACCUAACCUAACGCCAGACCCGUAAUAUCCCUAAGGCAAACUAGGCAAGUGCCUAGGGCGCUAGGUUACAGAGGGGAGGACGUGCCCAACUGCCCAUAAAGUGCCAGUGGCAAUAAAAACAUUAGAGGCGCCUAUACGGCAGGUUUUAUCCGCCUCCGACCUACGUCACCACUUUACGCCGGUAUUCUGUGACAGAGCUUGUCCAGUUGGACAUUCAAGUUGCAUAAAGCAGCUAAGCUUACAACCAUACAAUUUUAUUGUAACUAUAGUGAGACAUACUAAAUUAAUUAUUAUGUUAUCGGCUUACUCACGUAACUGUUUGACGAGGAACUCGACUAGUUUCAAGCCAUACUAGAGAGUAGCAGCGCGACAAUCGCCGCGUCGUGUCGCGGAAUGCUGCUCAUGAAUAUGAGCCUCUAGCAUGGCUUGAAACUAGUCGAGUUCCUCGUCAAAGAAUUACGUGAGUAAGCCGAUAGCAUAAUAACUAAUCAUGAAUUUAUUUAUGUACAUUCACCCUUUGUUUAGACUAGCUAGUACCUAGCGCAAGAAAUAUUAUAUAUUUCAUAAUACAGGUGCUCCGAAUUGCAAUUUUUAUACAAAGAAUACAAUAAGUCCAGUAGAUUCUUAUAUAUUAAUACUAAUGAACUUCAAACCUUCAAGAAAAGAGCGUAUUGCUUUUUAAAAGGCCGGCAACGCACCUGUGACUCCUCUGGUGUUGCAGGUGCUCAUGGGCGGCGCUGAUCGCUUACCAUCAGGUGAUCCGUCUGCUCGUUUGCUAUCAUGCCUCGUUUCCCCUAUUCCAUAAAAAAAUGAAUUGAUAAAAUAAUUUAAUAAGUCGUCGUUUCCCUUCCUUCAUAUGUUCCAAGCUGGUACUUGAUAUUUUAAUUUAUGAAUAAAUAAAUGAAAUAAUCAAUAAUGCAUUUACCGACCGUCCGAAACAUGUCUUUUUUAACUUUAGUAAGUGCUAGCAAAUAUUUUAAACGAAAUGAGUAUGACAUUUUAUAAUAAUGAAUCUGAAUAUUUCACAUCAAAUUAUUUAUGAAACUCUAGUAUUAAUAAUGUGUGUUGUAAUUGUAAAUAAAUAAUUUUAAAUGUAUUAAAAUAGGUAUAUUUUAAGUAUGGGACCAAUGUGAUGAUCGUAUUGUAUAUUAAUUAAAUAUUUUUUGUGUGUUAGCCAUAUUUAUUUUUCUGGAAAUUAAACCACAUGUACCUAACAUAGUAACAUAGCAGCUCAUAUAUACUUAGGUCGAGAUCGACCAUCGAUUCGGGUUUAGAAAUUGUCCAGUCUACAAGCAUAUAGCGUAGACUGUCCAGGCGACACACGUACUUAGGUAUCGUCAUGAGCUAAUGUUCACAUGUAAACAGCAGCUCAUGUAGUGCAGAGAUUGUCCAGUCAACAAGGAUGUAGCGUAGACUGUCCAGGCGACACACGUACUUAGGUAUCGUCAUGAGCUAACGUUCACAUGUAAACAGCAGCUCAUGUAGUGCAGAGAUUGUCCAGUCAACAAGGAUGUAGCGUAGACUGUCCAGGCGACACACGUACUUAGGUAUCGUCAUGAGCUAAUGUUCACAUGUAAACAGCAGCUCAUGUAGUGCAGACAUUGUCCAGUCAACA